UAGCUCAGCUGGGAGAGCACCUCCCUUACAAGGAGGGGGUCGGCGGUUCGAUCCCGU
rnacentral:tRNA from 51 species